CCGUCGCCACUGUCGAGCCCACCUGCGCCGCCUGUCGGAGCUCCGGGACCCACCGGACCGGAAUCUCCUACCCCAUCUCAGAACGACAAUAGUGGAGCGGGAAAAGUGUGGAGAAAGGAGAUGGUGGUGGGGAGCAUGUUGAUUGGAAUGGGAUAUGUUUUGAUGAUGCUUUAGGUGGACAUAGUUGAUGUGUCUUUCCUUCUGCACUACCCUUUUUUGGUGUCUAUGUUUUUUUUUCCAUUAUUCUUCUAUCUAUUAUACCCUUUGUUCUUUUGGAUGCUCAUUUCAUUUUGAUUAUUAGCCCAUCUCUGUUUGGGACUUUUGAUUCUUAGCCCUACUAUAAUUCCCAUUUGGACCAUAUUUUCUUGGAUUCUUUCGAGGCAGAAAGUUCUUGUAUCUACCUAUUCAGAGGACUUGUUUAUCUAUUUCCUAUUCCAUUAUUAUUUCUUAUUUA